UCCAGCAUAAUCAUGUAUGUUUCUGCUUCCCAUCAGCUUGAUGGUAGUGUAUUGGACAACCAUGGCAUUCACGGGCUAUCGGGGGAUUAGGGUUCGAUUCCGGAGAGGGAGCCUGAUAAACGGCUACCACUUCUACGGAAGGCAGCAGGCGCGAAAAUUAUCCAAUCCUGACUCAGGGAGGUAGUGAAAGAAAUAAUGAACUAGGAUUUAUCCUGGGAUCACAAUGGGCUUGAUUUGCAAACACUUAGCGAGGAACAAUUGGAGGGCAAGUCUGGUGCCAGCAGCCGCGGUAAUUCCAGCUCCAAUAGAGUAUAUAAACGUUCCUGCAGUUAUUCGAUGCUCGUAGUUGGAUUUCUGAGGUUGAGACGGGAGGGUGGCUAUGGCCAUCGCCCGACUCUUUCCUCAUCCACCUGUUUGCGAAUCCCGGGAUUGAUUUCUCGGUUUCGGGCGCAGGAUCUUACCAUUUCAUAUUGCGUAGUCUUCAUCGAUUAUGUUGUUUCUUUGAGCAAAUUAUAGUGUUUCAGGCAGGCGUGCGCCGGAAUACGUUAGCAUGGUAUAAACGAAUUGGACCGUGUGCCCGUAACUGGGCUUCUCCUUAUUGUUGGUUUGAAGGACACGGAGAUGGUUAAUAGGGACAGAAUUUAUUCAGGGGGAGGCAUUAGUAUUUAAUUUCCAGAGGUGAAAUUCUUUGAAAUAUUAAAGACUAACAUAUGCGAAAGCAUUCUUUGCCAAUGAUGUUUUCAUUAAUCAUUGAACGAAAGUUAGGGGAUCAAAGACGAUCAGAUACCGUCCUAGUCUUAACCAUAAACGUUGCCGACUAGGGAUCGGAGGGCGUGCACAUUCCGCCUUCGGCACCUUACGAGAAAUCAAAGUCUUUUGGGUUCUGUGGGUAGUAUGGUCGCAAGGCUGAAACUUAAAGGAAUUGACGGAAGGGCACCACCAGGAGUGGAGCUUGCGGCUCAAUUUGACUCAACACGGGAAAUCUUACCAGGUCCAGACAUAGCGAGGAU
rnacentral:rRNA from 1 species